rfam:Arthroderma gypseum CBS 118893 supercont1.2 genomic scaffold, whole genome shotgun sequence.
GGUCCCAUAGCUCAGUUGGUUAGAGCGUCGUACUAAUAUCAGUUAAUGCGAAGGCCGAGAGUUCGACCCUCUCUGGGACCA